rnacentral:rRNA from 1 species
AGAGUUUGAUCCUGGCUCAGGACGAACGCUGGCGGCGCGCCUUACGCAUGCAAGUCGAACGGACCUUCGGGUUAGUGGCGGACGGCUGAGUAACGCGUAGGUAACCUACCCAGUGGUGGGGAAUAACUCACCGAAAGGUGAGCUAAUACCGCAUAAGUUCCCGGUUUGAAAUGGCCGGGAGGAAAGCAUUUAUGCGCCACUGGAGGGGCCUGCGUCCUAUCAGGUAGUUGGUGGGGUAACGGCCUACCAAGCCGAUGACGGGUAGCUGGUCUGAGAGGACGAUCAGCCAGAAGGGGACUGGGACACGGCCCCUACUCCUACGGGAGGCAGCAGCGAGGAAUCUUGGGCAAUGGGCGAAAGCCUGACCCAGCGACGCCGCGUGAGGGAUGAAGGCCUUCGGGUCGUAAACCUCUUUUGUGAGGGAAGAAGUUCUGACGGUACCUCACGAAUAAGCCACGGCUAACUACGUGCCAGCAGCCGCGGUAAUACGUAGGUGGCGAGCGUUGUCCGGAUUUACUGGGCGUAAAGGGCUUGUAGGCGGUUCGUUAAGUCCGGUGUGAAAUCUCCCGGCUCAACUGGGAGGGGUCAUCGGAUACUGGCGGACUUGAGGUAGGCAGAGGAAAGCGGAAUUUCCGGUGUAGCGGUGAAAUGCGUAGAUAUCGGGAGGAACCCCAGUGGCGGAAGGCGGUUUUCUGGGAC